UGCGGUCACAACCUCUUUUCAGCAUAAGAGGAUCCCUUGGUUUGCUCUUCAAAGAUGGAUUUUUUUGGAGGGGAUCUCCUGGAAGAUUACUCAUAAUUUCUGAGAGGCCAAUUCGGUUGUUGAUUUCCUGGCUAGAGAUGCAGCAAAGUCAAAGAUCUCAGGCGUUAAUAUUAUUUUUCCUAAUCAUGUUAUGGAGCCGAUUAGGAGAGAUGCAAAAGAGAAUCCAAACUAUAGAGUUUGAUGUGCGUUUUCCCCUCCCCUGCUGAUGGUAAUGCCGAAGGUAUAACAGGUAACCGCAUGUGCACUGGCAAGAGAAAAUGCGUUUGCAUUGGCAAACAUCCUUAAGUAGAAGCAUGGAUGGUUGGAUGCUCAUAUGGAUGCUAAUGAAGAUGGCAACUAAGGGUGUCAGUCAGUCGAUUUUGGUGAGUGAAAUCAAUUCAUGAACUAACAAGGAUGCACCAGUUUUGAUUGGGUUUCAGUUUGGUUUCGGAUUUUCAUUUGUUUCUCUUAUUGCUUUACUAUCGGUUUGGUUUCAAUUUAUCAUGUAAUUAUAUUCAAAAGUAAGGUGGAAAUGUGUACUUUGAUGAAUUUUGGGUUGGCAUCGGUUUCUUAUCAGGUUAUAUUAGUUCCGGCCAAGUUUUUUUAAGUUCUAUUAAGUAUCUUAUUGGUUUUAAUGGAGUUUAAUUUGGUUUCAAUAUCACAAAA